UAAUGCACAGUCAACUUGUGGAACUCAUUGCCAGAGGAUGUAGUGAAAGCUAAAAGCAUAACUGGUUUCAAAAAAUAAUGAGAAGUUCAUGGAAGACAAGUCCAUCAAUGGUGAUUAGCCAAGAUAAUAACUGUUUCAGAGCAGU